AGAACUUUGUGGAAGAAAGAACUUAAGAAUGAUGAAUGAGGAUGUCUGGCAGAAGAAAUAUCUAAGCAGCAGGAUGAUGCAGUAAAAAGGCCCUUGCCAGAUGGAGGCCCCUCCUUGUUGGAUGCCCCAGCCUCCAGAACUGUGAGAAAUAAACUUCUGUUCUUUACAAAUUA